rnacentral:rRNA from 1 species
UGGGGAAUCUUGCACAAUGGGGGAAACCCUGAUGCAGCGACGCCGCGUGAACGAUGAAGCCCUUCGGGGUGUAAAGUUCUUUCGACAGGAACGAUAAUGACGGUACCUGGAGAAGAAGCUGCGGCUAACUACGUGCCAGCAGCCGCGGUAAUACGUAGGCAGCGAGCGUUGUUCGGAGCUACUGGGCGUAAAGAGUGCGUAGGCGGCGAGCCAAGUUUGGUGUGAAAUCUCCCGGCUUAACCGGGAGGGUGCGCCGAAAACUGGUUGGCUGGAGUAUGGGAGAGGAAAGCGGAAUUCCUGGUGUAGCGGUGAAAUGCGUAGAUAUCAGGAGGAACACCUGCGGUAUAGACAGCUUUCUGGACCAAAACUGACGCUGAGGCACGAAAGCGUGGGUAGCAAACA